GAUGAACGCUGGCGGCGUGCUUAACACAUGCAAGUCGAACGGGAUCCAAGGAGCGUUUUUCGUUUUUUGGUGAGAGUGGCGAACGGGUGAGUAACACGUGAGUAACCUGUCCUUUUCUUUAGGAUAAGCUCCUGAAAGGGUGUUUAAUACCUUAUGUUCUGUCUGCCUCGCAUGGGGUGGGUGGGAAAGAUUUUUUCGGUGAAGGGUGGGCUCGCGGUCUUUCGGCUUGUUGGUGGGGUGGUGGCUUACCAAGGCUUUGUCGGGUAGCCGGCCUGUGAGGGUGAUUGGACAUGAGGGGAGGGCGAGACUGCCCCGGGUGCCGCGGGAGGCAGCUGUUGGGCAUAUGGCGCAAGGGGGGCAAGCCUGAUGCGGCUACGUCGCGUGGGGGAUGGGGUCCUUCGGGUUGUAAACUGCGUAAGCACUGAACAAGGCGCAUCUUUGGGGGGUGUGAAGUGUAGGGGUUGAUAAGCGCCGGCUAACUACGUG
rnacentral:rRNA from 1 species